rnacentral:rRNA from 1 species
CACGUAGGGCGCGAGCGUUGUCCGGAAUUAUUGGGCGUAAAGAGCUCGUAGGCGGCCUGUUGCGUCCGCUGUGAAAGCCCGGGGCUUAACAUCGGAAUUGCACCUCAAACUACACGGCUAGAGCAUUGGAGAGGGUAGCAGAAUUCAUGGUGUAGCAGUGAAAUGCGUAGAUAUCAUGAGGAAUACCAGAGGCGAAGGCGGCUACCUGGACAAUUGCUGACGCUCAGGCACGAAAGCGUGGGGAGCAAA